UCCCCAGGGCCAGCCGGGCAGCCGCGGGCAGGACGGGGCGCAGGUACGUGCGGGGGUCGGGGUCCCCGCGGGCGCAGCCCCCCGUGCCCCCCCUGCCAGGCCCUCUCCUCUCUGUGUUUCAGGGCGAGCCGGGCCCCCGGGGCGAGCCGGGCACUUGGGGGGAGGGUUUGCACCAGCUCCGCGAGGCGCUGAAGAUUUUAGCGGAGAGGGUUUUAAUCUUGGAAACAAUGAUUGGGCUCUACGAGCCAGAGCCCGGCUCGGGCAGCGGUGUCCCCAGCACAGCCAUCCCCGGGGUGCCCCACGGCAAGCGUGGCAGCGGCCACCCCCCCUACCGCAUCGUCACCGCCGCCCGCCGCGCCCCCCUGGAGCCGUGACAGGGGCGUCACCCGGGCCACCCCCACCGUGCCACCCUGGAGAGCAGGACGGGCUCAGCCCCGUCCCCCCUCUUGGUGCUACUGGUGGCACGGCACCGUCCCCCCACCACGCUUCGCCCCCAUCGCCGCUGCUUGAGCCCCCGGGAGGGCCAGGGCUGUCCCCAAGGCCAUUUCUGUCCCCCGGGCAAGGCGCAGCUCCGGGGGGGUGGGCUCUGUCUCAUCCCAUCUCCCCGGGCACCCCAGCCCAGGGGAGGGGAUUGGGGGGCUGGCGGUGGGCACCCCCCGGGCGGGGAGCCCGCCGUGCUGCGCGCUUCGCUGCUUGGGGACCCGCCAGGUCAUUAAAUGUCCCCAAAUCCCUGUCCUGUGGGGUCGCUUGGUGCGCCGGGGGGUGGGAUGGGAUGGGAUCUAUGGGAUGGGAUCCAUGGGAUAGGAUCUAUGGGACCCAUGAGGUGGGGGGGAUGGGAUGGGAUGGGAUGGGAUGGGAUGGGAUGGGAUGGGAUGGGAUGGGACGGGACGGGAUGGGAUGGGACGGGAUAGGACGGGAUCCAUGGGAUGGGAUAGGAUCUAUGGGAU
rnacentral:lncRNA from 1 species